UNUGACUUGAGUGCAGAAGGGGAGAGUGGAAUUCCAUGUGUAGCGGUGAAAUGCGUAGAUAUAUGGAGGAACACCAGUGGCGAAAGCGGCUCUCUGGUCUGUCACUGACGCUGAGGCUCGAAAGCGUGGGUAGCGUACAGGAUUAGAUACCCUGGUAGUNCACGCCGUAAACGAUGAGUGCUAGGUGUUAGGCCCUUUCCGGGGCUUAGCGCCGGAGCUAACGCAAUAAGCACUCCGCCUGGGGAGUACGACCGCAAGGUUGAAACUCAAAGGAAUUGACGGGGGCCCGCACAAGCGGUGGAGCAUGUGGUUUAAUUCGAAGCAACGCGAAGAACCUUACCAGGUCUUGACAUCCCGAUGCUAUUCUUAGAGAUAGGAAGUUACUUCGGUACAUCGGAGACAGGUGGUGCAUGGUUGUCGUCAGCUCGUGUCGUGAGAUGUUNNNNNAANNNNNNCAACGAGCGCAACCCUUAUUGUUAGUUGCCAUCAUUAAGUUGGGCACUCUAGCGAGACUGCCGGUAAUAAACCGGAGGAAGGUGGGGAUGACGUCAAAUCAUCAUGCCCCUUAUGACCUGGGCUACACACGUGCUACAAUGGUCGGUACAACGAGUUGCGAGCCGGUGACGGCAAGCUAAUCUCUGAAAGCCGAUCUCAGUUCGGAUUGGAGGCUGCAACUCGCCUCCAUGAAGUCGGAAUCGCUAGUAAUCGCGGAUCAGCACGCCGCGGUGAAUACGUUCCCGGGCCU
rnacentral:rRNA from 1 species